CGGCGGCGGGGAACGGCCUCGAAAGGAAAGAGCGAUUCUUCCUGGCCAGUUACAGAACUACGACUCACACCGUGAUCAGCACAACGGUCACCACUGAGCCUUACCACUGUUUCUUUACCGCCACCGUCCCCGAUCUCUGCAUGCCACGCA